AGAGUUUGAUCCUGGCUCAGGAUGAACGCUGGCGGCGUGCCUAAUACAUGCAAGUCGAGCGAACCACUUCGGUGGUGAGCGGCGAACGGGUGAGUAACACGUAGGUGAUCUGCCCAUCAGACGGGGACAACGAUUGGAAACGAUCGCUAAUACCGGAUAGGACGAAAGUUUAAAGGUGCUUCUGGCACCGCUGAUGGAUGAGCCUGCGGCGCAUUAGCUAGUUGGUAGGGUAAAGGCCUACCAAGGCGACGAUGCGUAGCCGACCUGAGAGGGUGAACGGCCCACACUGGGACUGAGACACGGCCCAGACUCCUACGGGAGGCAGCAGUAGGGAAUCUUCGGCAAUGGGCGAAAGCCUGACCGAGCAACGCCGCGUGAAUGAUGAAGGCCUUCGGGUUGUAAAAUUCUGUUAUAAGGGAAGAACGACUUUAGUAGGAAAUGGCUAGAGUGUGACGGUACCUUAUGAGAAAGCCACGGCUAACUACGUG
rnacentral:rRNA from 1 species